GACGAACGCUGGCGGCGUGCUUAACACAUGCAAGUCGAACGGAAAGGCCCUGCUUUUGUGGGGUGCUCGAGUGGCGAACGGGUGAGUAACACGUGAGUAACCUGUCCUUGUCUUUGGGAUAACUUUAGGAAACUGGGGAUAAUACCGGAUAGGAGCUCCUGCUGCAUGGUGGGGGUUGGAAAGUUUCGGCGGUUGGGGAUGGACUCGAGGCUUAUCAGCUUGUUGGUGGGGUAGUGGCUUACCAAGGCUUUGACGGGUAGCCGGCCUGAGAGGGUGGCCGGCCACAUUGGGACUGAGAUACGGCCCAGACUCCUACGGGAGGCAGCAGUGGAGAAUAUUGCACAAUGGGCGGAAGCCUGAUGCAGCAGCGCCGCGUGCGGGAUGACGGCCUUCGGGUUGUAAACCGCUUUCUCCUGUGACGAAGCGUGAGUGACGGUAAUGGGUAAAAAAGCACCGGCUAACUACGUG
rnacentral:rRNA from 1 species